rnacentral:lncRNA from 1 species
GUUUCAAACCAAAUAUUCCACUGCACGCAGGGACAGGCUGCUGCUUCUCUGGAAGAGCACAGAUUUUACUUUCAUCACAAAUAAAACAGGUCCUCAGACAGUAACAACGUCAUUUAGAAGAGGAAAUUGAUGCUUUAACCACAGUUUCUUAAUCCUAGAGGAUCUUUCCAUACUGUAUUCUUAGAGAAUUGCUAAAAUCUCUUGCCAUUAUUUCUCUAGCUUACGGAUCACCUGUUCUGUACUUCCACCUCUUCAAGAAAUGAGAAUCAGUAGCAGGUCUGAAGUGAGAGAGGAAGCUAACCAAGGUUUCAGAACUCCAGUGGAGAUAUCUUCCAGUUGUAACCAGUUAAGCCGGGACCUAAACGCCUGCCCAUCUGAAGGAUGUCUGCGCUGAUAAGAUAAAGCCAACAGCUCUGCAGCAUAAUAAAGUUUCAAUUUAUUCACCUGCCUCA